rnacentral:rRNA from 1 species
UGUUGAUAGAACAAUGUAGAUAAGGGAAGUCGGCAAAAUGGAUCCGUAACUUCGGGAUAAGGAUUGGCUCUAAGGGUCGGGCCCGCUGGGCCUUGGGGGAAACCCCUCGGAGCAGGGGGGCACUAGCCGGGCAACCGGCCGGCGCCCCCCAGCACUGGGGUGGGGACGCCCUUGGCAGGCUUCGGCCGUCCGGCGGGCGCUUAACGACCAACUUAGAACUGGUACGGACAAGGGGAAUCUGACUGUC